rnacentral:siRNA from 1 species
UCUUAGAACCUACAAAUAUAC